rnacentral:lncRNA from 1 species
UUGAUCCUUCUCGCUUGGUCCAUCGGGGAGUGACCCCACGAAAUAUUGACGAGAUAUCUUCCAACAUAGUCGCCACCCUUAGACAUAUUCGUUAGCCCAUUUUGCUUAACGUACCAUGGGACAACCGAGAGUUCUUCCAUGGCUCAUGCUUGAGUAAUAAAAAUAUUGCUUUUGUCCAUUAUUUCCCUGGUUCUAAAUUCAAAUAACAAUUUUAAUGACAUAAUGAAAACUAUAACUAUAAGCUUUUCAUAACGGAAACGAAACUGUAACAUUUGCAGAAACUUUCCAUAAAAAUUCAUAUGUAACUAAGAUAUUCAAUUACUCACACGGUUUUUUGUUUCUCACUAGCGCCCAUAGCGAACUCAUGGAACGAACCCGGUUGACUCCGAACCUAACCAUUAAUACUAUCACAUUAUAAUCCUAUACAAUAUGUGCAAGAAGAUAAGUUACACUUCGGUGGUCAUACGGUGUCCAAAGUCAGUCCACUGCAGUGGUGAAAGGUGGUGGUUUUGGGUGGAAAUAACAAUCUAAAUUAUCAGAUAAGUUUAGGACAGAGGAGAGUCCUCGGUGUCAAGAAAAACGGUCCAAUGGCCGAGGGUUGGUCAGGGAAUGACCGAAGAACCUUUGUAGGAAAUUAUGUAGUUUCGGUAACUCUAAUAUACAAACUUCCUUCGACCAAACGGUCAAACGGAGGUUACAUAUGAACUUAGAAGAUCGAUUAUAGUAGAACUGAGGUGAUUCCGAAUUUCCAAGCCAUCACAGCGACCGGUGGUGGUGGUUUUCGCCGAGAGCCCAAAAAUGACAAUUUUCGAUUUCGGCUCGCGCGGCUGUCCUACGGUGGUUUUCGGAACCCGGAAUAGGUCUCAAUAGUUUCUAUAGGUUGAAAGGAGUUGAGCGGUGGUCACCGGAAGUGUCGAUGGCCAAGGCCAUGGCCACCCGUAGGUGUGGCCGUGUGGCCCCGUGUGCGCGCGUGUAUAGAUGAGAGAGAGGAGGGGAAGAGGGGUGAGAGAAACUCACCGGAGGUAGUGUGGCGGAGGCUGGACAGCGGUGGUAGUGGUGGAUGCGCUACGGGGGGG